rnacentral:rRNA from 1 species
GAGUUUGAUCAUGGCUCAGGAUGAACGCUGGCGGCGUGCUUAACACAUGCAAGUCGAACGAACCUUCGGGUUAGUGGCGGACGGGUGAGUAACGCGUGAGAAUCUGCCCUCAGGAGGGGGAUAACGGUUGGAAACGACCGCUAAUACCCCAUAUGCCGAUAGGUGAAAUGAAUUUCGCCUGAGGAUGAGCUCGCGUCUGAUUAGCUUGUUGGUGAGGUAAUGGCUCACCAAGGCUUCGAUCAGUAGCUGGUCUGAGAGGAUGAUCAGCCACACUGGGACUGAGACACGGCCCUGACUCCUACGGGAGGCAGCAGUGGGGAAUUUUCCGCAAUGGGCGAAAGCCUGACGGAGCAACGCCGCGUGAGGGACGAAGGCCUCUGGGCUGUAAACCUCUUUUCUCAAGGAAGAAGAUAUGACGGUACUUGAGGAAUAAGCCACGGCUAAUUCCGUGCCAGCAGCCGCGGUAAUACGGGAGUGGCAAGCGUUAUCCGGAAUUAUUGGGCGUAAAGCGUCCGCAGGCGGCCUUUCAAGUCUGCUGUUAAAGCGUGGAGCUUAACUCCAUUAUGGCAGUGGAAACUGAUCGGCUUGAGUAUGGUAGGGGCAGAGGGAAUUCCCGGUGUAGCGGUGAAAUGCGUAGAUAUCGGGAAGAACACCAGUGGCGAAGGCGCUCUGCUGGGCCAUUACUGACGCUCAUGGACGAAAGCCAGGGGAGCGAAAGGGAUUAGAUACCCCUGUAGUCCUGGCCGUAAACGAUGAACACUAGGUGUCGGGGGAAUCGACCCCUUCGGUGUCGUAGCUAACGCGUUAAGUGUUCCGCCUGGGGAGUACGCACGCAAGUGUGAAACACAAAGGAAUUGACGGGGGCCCGCACAAGCGGUGGAGUAUGUGGUUUAAUUCGAUGCAACGCGAAGAACCUUACCAGGGUUUGACAUCCUGAGAACCUCUUAGAAAUUUGAGGGUGCCUUCGGGAAUUCAGUGACAGGUGGUGCAUGGCUGUCGUCAGCUCGUGUUGUGAGAUGUUGGGUUAAGUCCCGCAACGGGCGCAACCCACGUUUUUAGUUGCCAGCAUUUAGUUGGGCACUCUAGAAAGACCGCCGGUGAUAAACCGGAGGAAGGUGUGGAUGACGUCAAGUCAUCAUGCCCCUUACACCCUGGGCUACACACGUACUACAAUGCUACGGACAAAGGGCAGCAAACUCGCGAGAGCUAGCAAAUCCCAUAAACCGUGGCUCAGUUCAGAUCGUAGGCUGCAACUCGCCUACGUGAAGUAGGAAUCGCUAGUAAUCGCAGGUCAGCAUACUGCGGUGAAUACGUUCCCGGGCCUUGUACACACCGCCCGUCACACCAUGGAAGUUGGCCAUGCCCGAAGUCGUUACUCCAACCCUUGUGGAGGAGGACGCCGAAGGUGGGGCUAAUGACUGGGGUGAAGUCGUAACAAGGUAACC